rnacentral:rRNA from 1 species
UACGGAGGGGGCAAGCGUUGUUCGGAAUUACUGGGCGUAAAGCGCGCGUAGGCGGUUAGUAUAGUCAGGCGUGAAAUCCCUGGGCUCAACCCAGGAACUGCGCUUGAUACUGGCUAACUAGAGCUCUGGAGAGGGUAGUGGAAUUCCCAGUGUAGAGGUGAAAUUCGUAGAUAUUGGGAAGAACACCAGCGGCGAAGGCGGCUACCUGGACAGAUACUGACGCUGAGGUGCGAAAGCGUGGGGAGCAAACAGG